UGCUUAGUCCCACAUCAGUUGUGCAUUAUGAAGGUCUUGGGUACCUGAACAAGGCCAAAGAUCCCGAUCAAUAACUUCUGGCUAGCUCUUUUGAGUGAGUUUUUGGAUCAUGACAUAAUGCAUGCAAAUUCAUUAUUUCAACCAUCUUUAACAUCACCUCCAAGUUCUAAAAAAGAAUGUAACCAAGAUAGUGGAAAACCAUGCUUAAAACGUGAUCGAAAUGCUUUUGAUAGCAAAAUUUGUAUGGCGGACCAUGCGCUAAACUUUCAUAUGCAUCUAUGCAUGUAUGUUUACAAAUGUACCCAUGAAUACAUAAAAUAUGUACAUACUUUGUAUGUACGGUUCAUACAUGUGUGUAUUCAUAUGUAUGUAUACAUAUGUAUGUAUGUGCAUAUAUAAUUACAUAUACAUACAUACAUACAUAUAGUAUGUCUAUUUUGUAUAAAUAAUGUUUUUUUUCUUUACAAAAAGAAGUGUUUAGAGUUUUGACAGGCCCCAUCAAGUCAUGUAUGGUCUCAAGAUAUAUCAUAAUUCAGUGUAUAUCCAUUUCUGCAUCUCAAAUCCAAAGGUCACAAACAUACACCAAAAAAAUGAAUGGCAUAUAUUUCUUUGAUUCCUUACUGAAUAUUUAAGGUCCAGUCCACAUCCUUGAUAUGUACUUCAUGCAUUUUGUUGACAGAGAUGAAUGGUAAAUUAUAAAGUAAACCCAAACUGAUGGG
rnacentral:lncRNA from 1 species